rnacentral:tRNA from 1 species
GGGGGCAUAGCUCAGUUGGGAGAGCAACAGACUGAAGUUCAGACUGCGAAUCCUAUUCUUCUGGAGGUCCCCAGUUCAAUCCUGGGUGCCCCCA